CCUACGGGAGGCUGCAGUGAGGAAUAUUGGUCAAUGGGCGCAGGCCUGAACCAGCCAAGUAGCGUGAAGGAUGACUGCCCUAUGGGUUGUAAACUUCUUUUAUAAAGGAAUAAAGUCGGGUAUGUAUACCCGUUUGCAUGUACUUUAUGAAUAAGGAUCGGCUAACUCCGUGCCAGCAGCCGCGGUAAUACGGAGGAUCCGAGCGUUAUCCGGAUUUAUUGGGUUUAAAGGGAGCGUAGGUGGACUGGUAAGUCAGUUGUGAAAGUUUGCGGCUCAACCGUAAAAUUGCAGUUGAUACUGUCAGUCUUGAGUACAGUAGAGGUGGGCGGAAUUCGUGGUGUAGCGGUGAAAUGCUUAGAUAUCACGAAGAACUCCGAUUGCGAAGGCAGCUCACUGGAGCGCAACUGACGCUGAAGCUCGAAAG
rnacentral:rRNA from 1 species